UUUUUUUUACCUCUGGAACAUAGCACAUUUUCUAACAUAGCCACUGAGAGGAAAACCCAAGCAGUGGUUUGUCCUUGCUGCCUGCACAAAGCCCAGGCCCACAUGCUUGUAACUCCAUCUGCACAAGAGGCUCUCCUCUCCACCCAGUCCCUCUUCGGGGCGGGGAGUCCUGGCAAAACGAGUGGCAAUGAAGUGCUUUUAUGUUACGAGGCUGUCAUGUAAAGCUGCUGAUAGAUUCAAUCCAUCUGUUCCACCUCAUUUCGAUUAAUCCUGGGAUCCCUAGGGCCUGAAACCAACUGCAAUCUGCACAAGCCCAGGAGCGCCGGCUCCCCUAACAAGGCCACCCGUGUCUCCGUACCCAGGGACCAACUCGGCCCGGCCGAGGCUACCACGUCAUCAGAAAACCCCCUCCCACGGAACACUUCCUAACUGCCUGUCCUUGUGGCUGCAUUCACAGAAACAAACAUAAGUCGGUUCUUUGUUCACAGAAAGGAAAACAAAUAUUUCCUUUGAGCUGACCCAGGAGGAGGAGAACCGCUGGGAAGGAGCACCUGGAAACUCAAACACCGCAGCAUGAGGGCAGAGCCGCUAACUCCUGCCUCUGCCUGUAACCUACUGUGUGGCCUCAGGCAAGUCACAGUCCCUCUCUGAGCCACACCCUCAUCUGUACCAGGAUCAGGACUCCACAGUCUCUAAAGGACUUCAGUCUCCUUCAGAAGGGGGAAGGGAGGGGCUGGAAAAAGAGACGCUGCUGGCAAGAGAGGCACAGCACAUCUUUAUGGCGUUAACUCGGCUGCCAGCUCUCACCAGCAGGCAAGUGCCCACGCGUCCAGAAGAACUCAGGGAACCCGGCAGGGAGGGAACCAGAGGAUGUUUCAAGUAACCCCAGGAGCUCCUGCCACCUUCCCUUUAGGGCUGGGUGAUGCCCUGGAUUGCUCUGUGGGCAGACCUGUCUUAUCUGAUGCCAGGAAGGGCCUGUUCUGAGCCCCUGAGCCAAAGAAGGGGGCGGGGGGCAGCCCCAGAAACACGGGCAGGACACGGCAUUCGACUCCUUGGAAGAGAACCUCUGCCCAUAAACAGUAGUUCAGGAACCAUUUUACAAGAGGAAUGCAAGCCGGGUCUCUGCAUCGGGCUUUAGGAACGACCUGCUGCAGUGAUGCCUCGGCAACCACAGUCCCACGAUGAAGGACAACUGAGAACCAGAUGUGCACAGAACCACCGUUCAGGGAGUCUGGACCCAGCCCUGUCUGCACGUUAUCUAAACGGUGACAGCAGCAGCUUUGGAGUCCCCUCUGCCGGCUCCACCACCACGUUGCUGCUGGGCCUCGGCAUCAAGCCCUGCCAGGUGGCCAGAAAGGCAGGUGGCCGGGCAGGCAGGCAUCACUUAACCUAGCGACAAUCAAGCCUGUGCCUGGCAUGAAGUCAGGCCCCCGGAGGUGCUGGCUGAACCUGAGGCCUUUCCUAGCCGUCAGGUUUUGCUGGGCACUGUGCUCUCAACAUGCUCCGGGGCGACACACCAUCCUCCCUCCUGCUUCAACACAGGGCAGCUCUGCAGGGGGCAAACACAGGAAGCCACAGUCACCACAGUGAGCCCAUAAAGGAAGACAGUCCCAGCUACCUGUGUGUGCGAGGAGUGGGGUCCAUUCUAGAGAUCCCCAGGAAUGCACAAACCGUCCCCAGCCCCUGGGCUCAGGACCAAGGAGGAAGAACUGAGCUGGGACAUCUGCUGGGGCCACCUUCUCUCUUCUCCCUCUGGCCUCAGGAGGGCCAAGAAAAACACACACGAUACCAGUGCCCUAUGGUGGUCUGGACUCAAGAGAGCUGGCUUGGACGCUAUGCUGAGAACACUAGGGGCAGGUCUGGCCCUGGGAGCAAGUGUGCCACGGUUCAUCAGUGACAUCUGCCUGGGGCCAAGCAGAACUUGUGCUGGUCAAAUAGCAAAGGAUGAAGAGAAGGAAAAAUUCUACACACAUGGGAACCAUGAGUCUCCAGCAUGGAUAAAUAAGACUGUAAUUACCCCUCCUUAGCCCCCACUCGCUCCUCCAAAAAAGCUUUCUGGAGGAAACAGACAGCAGAGCAGACAUUUCAUGCAAACUGGUCUCUUUUCAUUACAGGAGUUUGCAGCAAAAGAUCAGACUUCAUCUAGAGAGCAAGAAACUCUCUAUUCUAUCACCAAGAAUGUAUUCUAUAGCAGGAAACUGGGGGAGGGCAUAUCGGGACACAGUUGAAAAGCCGGGGAGGAGGAAGGUUCAGAAGUGACAAGUUUCUAAUGACUAAUAUCUCGGCAGGAAGUGAAAAUCUCAAAAGAUGUUAUCAACUUUGCAGCAGCUGUCCAAGUUGGGGGGUGGGCAGGGGUUGGAGGUGACCUGGCAGCCCAGCCGGUCCCCUGCCCACCCGCACCUGACAAAAUCCUCUCUGUCCAGCCACACUUGCCUCCAAUGCCUUCCUCAAACCCCUCCGCCGGCAAUGAUCACUUCCUCAGCAAUCAGUGCCCCCAGGCCCCUCUCUCGUGUCCCUGCCUGAGUCCCACACAGGGAACUGAGAUCCUCAGGGUCCCCAGGGCAGAUGCUGGAACAUGCUCACCUCUGAAUCCCCCCAGGGCUCUGCACAGUGUGGCCCACAGCAGAUGCCUGCCAGCUGCUGGCUAAAUGGAACUGGCUGCGGGGAGGAAGGCUCUGGUGAGAACAGAGGCUUUUUGGGACCUCCAACUAAACGCACCCUCCCCCAUCUACAGUGUAAAGAACACUUUAUUUCGAACAGCAAUAAAUCAGCAUGCUGCAUAAACCAGGA